UACGUAGGGUGCAAGCGUUAAUCGGAAUUACUGGGCGUAAAGCGUGCGCAGGCGGUUAUGUAAGACAGGUGUGAAAUCCCCGGGCUUAACCUGGGAACUGCAUUUGUGACUGCAAGGCUGGAGUGCGGCAGAGGGGGAUGGAAUUCCGCGUGUAGCAGUGAAAUGCGUAGAUAUGCGGAGGAACACCGAUGGCGAAGGCAAUCCCCUGGGCCUGCACUGACGCUCAUGCACGAAAGCGUGGGGAGCAAACAGG
rnacentral:rRNA from 1 species